rnacentral:rRNA from 1 species
AGAGUUUGAUCAUGGCUCAGGACGAACGCUGGCGGCGUGCCUAAUACAUGCAAGUCGAACGCACUGACGGAGAACUUGUUCUCUUGACGUGAGUGGCGCACGGGUGAGUAACACGUGGGAAACCUACCCUUCAGCGGGGGAUAACCAUCGGAAACGAUGACUUAUACCGCAUAGACGACAGAACCGCCUGGUUCAAUCGGGAAAGACGGCUUCGGCUGUCACUGAAGGAUGGUCCCGCGCUGCAUUAGCUAGUUGGUAAGGUAACGGCUUACCAAGGCGAUGAUGCAUAGCCGACCUGAGAGGGUGAUCGGCCACAUUGGGACUGAGACACGGCCCAAACUCCUACGGGAGGCAGCAGUAGGGAAUCUUCCGCAAUGGACGCAAGUCUGACGGAGCAACGCCGCGUGUGUGAAGAAGGUUUUCGGAUCGUAAAGCACUGUUAUUAGAGAAGAACAGCCGAUAGAGUAACUGUUAUCGGUUUGACGGUAUCUAACCAGAAAGUGACGGCUAACUACGUGCCAGCAGCCGCGGUAAUACGUAGGUCACAAGCGUUGUCCGGAUUUAUUGGGCGUAAAGGGAGCGCAGGCGGUUUGUUAAGUCUGAUGUGAAAGCCCACGGCUCAACCGUGGAACGGCAUUGGAAACUGGCAAACUUGAGUAUAGAAGAGGAAAGUGGAAUUCCAUGUGUAGCGGUGAAAUGCGUAGAUAUAUGGAGGAACACCAGUGGCGAAGGCGACUUUCUGGUCUAUAACUGACGCUGAGGCUCGAAAGCGUGGGGAGCGAACAGGAUUAGAUACCCUGGUAGUCC